rnacentral:rRNA from 1 species
UACGGGGGGGGCAAGCGUUGCUCGGAAUCACUGGGCGUAAAGCGCACGUAGGCGGAUCUUUAAGUCAGGGGUGAAAUCCUGGAGCUCAACUCCAGAACUGCCUUUGAUACUGGGGAUCUCGAGUCCGGGAGAGGUGAGUGGAACUCCGAGUGUAGAGGUGAAAUUCGUAGAUAUUCGGAAGAACACCAGUGGCGAAGGCGGCUCACUGGCCCGGUACUGACGCUGAGGUGCGAAAGCGUGGGGAGCAAACAGG